rnacentral:rRNA from 1 species
CAGCCGCCACGGUAAUGCGAAGGGGGCUAGCGUUGCUCGGAAUGACUGGGCGUAAAGGGCGCGUAGGCGGUUUUGACAGUCAGAUGUGAAAUUCCUGGGCUUAACCUGGGGGCUGCAUUUGAGAUGUCAAGACUAGAGUGUGAGAGAGGGUUGUGGAAUUCCCAGUGUAGAGGUGAAAUUCGUAGAGAUCGGGAGGAACAUCAGUGGCGAAGGCGGCCAUCUGGGACAACACUGACGCUGAGGCACGAAAGCGUGGGGAGCAAACAGGAUUAGAUACCCCUGUAGUCCCUGUCUCUUAUAC